rnacentral:rRNA from 1 species
AAAGCUUGCUUUUCUGAAUCUAGUGGCGAACGGGUGAGUAACACGUAGGUAACCUGCCCAUGUGCCCGGGAUAACUUCUGGAAACGGAUGCUAAAACCGGAUAGGUAGCAGACAAGCAUUUGACUGCUAUUAAAGUGGCUUUGGCCAUGAACAUGGAUGGACCUGCGGUGCAUUAGCUGGUUGGUGAGGUAACGGCCCACCAAGCCGACGAUGGGUAGCCGGCCUGAGAGGGCGGACGGCCACAUUGGGACUGAGACACGGUCCAUACUCC